GUAUACGGAAAAGGCUCAUAAAUACCCCUAACCUAUUGAAAAAGGCUCAUAAAUACCCUCCUUCCACCUUUUGGUCUAAAAAUACCCUUAAGGUUUGUUUUUGGCUCAAAUAUACCCCUCAAACUAACAAGUUAAAAUUAACUCUUUUAAAAAGCCAAAUGGCAUUUUGUAAUU